rnacentral:rRNA from 1 species
ACGCUCGACACCUAGGGGGCAGCAGUAGGGGAAUUUUCGGUCAAUGGGGGGAAACCCUGGGAACCCGAGCAACGCCGCGUGAAGGAACGAAGGAAUUCGGUUCUAGUAAACUUCUUGGUUAUAAAGGAAAGAACGGCGGAUAUAGGGAAUGGAAUAAUCCGAGUCGACGGUACUUUAAUAGACGAAGACCACGGCUAACUACGUGCCACAGGCCGCGGUAAUCUGGAGCGGGCUGGCAGGC